ACAAACUUGGUCAUUUAGAGGAAGUAAAAGUCGUAACAAGGUUUCCGUAGGUGAACCUGCGGAAGGAUCAUUAAAGAAAUUUAAUAAUUUUGAAAAUGGAUUUUUUUGUUUUGGCAAGAGCAUGAGAGCUUUUACUGGGCAAGAAGACAAGGGAUGGAGAGUCCAGUUGGGCCUGCGCUUGAGUGCGCGGUCUUGCUUGGCUUGUAAGUUUCUUUCUUGCUAUUCCAAACGGUGAGAGAUUUCUAUGCUACUGUUAUAGGACAAUUAAAACCGUUUCAAUAUAACACACUGUGGAGUUUUCAUAUCUUUGCAACUUUUUCUUUGGGCAUUCGAGCGAUCGAGGCCCAGAGGUAACAAACACAAACAAUUUUAUUUAUUCAUUAAAUUUUUGUCAAGAACAAGAAUUUUCGUAACUGGAAAUUUUAAAAAUAUUAAAAACUUUCAACAACGGAUCUCUUGGUUCUCGCAUCGAUGAAGAACGCAGC
rnacentral:misc_RNA from 1 species